rnacentral:rRNA from 1 species
CAGUCGAACGGGAUCCAUCAAGCUUGCUUGGUGGUGAGAGUGGCGAACGGGUGAGUAAUGCGUGACCGACCUGCCCCAUACACCGGAAUAGCUCCUGGAAACGGGUGGUAAUGCCGGAUGUUCCAGUUGAUCGCAUGGUCUUCUGGGAAAGCUUUCGCGGUAUGGGAUGGGGUCGCGUCCUAUCAGCUUGACGGCGGGGUAACGGCCCACCGUGGCUUCGACGGGUAGCCGGCCUGAGAGGGCGACCGGCCACAUUGGGACUGAGAUACGGCCCAGACUCCUACGGGAGGCAGCAGUGGGGAAUAUUGCACAAUGGGCGCAAGCCUGAUGCAGCGACGCCGCGUGAGGGAUGGAGGCCUUCGGGUUGUAAACCUCUUUUAUCGGGGAGCAAGCGUGAGUGAGUUUACCCGUUGAAUAAGCACCGGCUAACUACGUGCCAGCAGCCGCGGUAAUACGUAGGGUGCAAGCGUUAUCCGGAAUUAUUGGGCGUAAAGGGCUCGUAGGCGGUUCGUCGCGUCCGGUGUGAAAGUCCAUCGCUUAACGGUGGAUCCGCGCCGGGUACGGGCGGGCUUGAGUGCGGUAGGGGAGACUGGAAUUCCCGGUGUAACGGUGGAAUGUGUAGAUAUCGGGAAGAACACCAAUGGCGAAGGCAGGUCUCUGG